rnacentral:rRNA from 1 species
GUUUAUCAAAAACAUUGCCACUAGAAAUCUAUUAGUGGUACACCCUGCCCAGUGAACAUUCAACGGCCGCGGUAUCCUGACCGUGCAAAGGUAGCAUAAUCACUUGCCUAUUAAUUGUAGGCUAGAAUGAAUGGGUAAACGAGAAUACCACUGUCUCCUCUAAAUACAUAAAACUUUAUAUUUUGGUGAAGAAGCCAAAAUAAAACCGCAGGACAAGAAGACCCUAUAGAGCUUUACCCUAAAUAUUUAAAGCAAAAAUAUCACGGUUCGGUUGGGGCGACCUGGGGAAACAAAUCACCCCUUAAACUUCAGAUACACAAAUCAUACAAACGAUCCUUAAUCUAAGAUCAACGAAUUUAGCUACCUUAGGGAUAACAGGCUAAUCCUCUUUAAGAGCCCUUAUUGACAAGAGGGAUUGGCACCUCGAUGUUGGCUUAGGACUUCUCCAUGAUGUAGCAGUCAUGGCUAGAUGGUUUGUUCAACCAUUAAUAUCCUACGUGAUCUGAGUUCACACCGGA